rnacentral:lncRNA from 1 species
AGAAAAAAAAUCACUGAGUGUUCGGCUAGGUCAUUUCUGUGCCGAUUAUUGUUUAAAGUUUUUUCGGAAUCUCUAGAUUCCAUCUUCUUCGUUUCGAUUCUGGAUUUUGGUUUAAAAAUGGAAGUCUUUUGAGAGGUUCGAGUCUGUUGCUGCUCGAGGGUUGAUUUUCAGCUACUAUUUGCUCCCUUUUGGUUGAUUUCAGUGUUGUAUUAAUUUAGUCUCUUAAUUCUAAGUUCAUUUCUUUUCUUAUCUUUAGUUCCCGCUGUAAAUCGAUCUCUGAAUAAGCUAUAAAAUGGGCUGAAGUUUAAAGUAAUAACUGAGAUUUAUGUAGUUAUCCUAGGUUCAUCUUUCUGCUCUAUUUCUUCUUGUUUUUUUAGCCUCUUCUAUGAUUUCAUAUGUGUACUAAUGAAUGUUCAUAUGAUCCUCUAGUCUCAGAAUCCAUCGAAACAUGUAAUCGUGUGUUCGUCUUCCUCUUCUAUCAGUGUCUGACCAUAGUUAAUUUUUUUUUGCGUGUAAAUGUUUAAGGGUUGGUUUCCAAACGGCUUGAAGGUUAACUUUGCUUGUUUUCUUUUAUCAUAGGCUGUCAAUACUGGUUUGAUGUGCUGAGUAUGGUCAGUCAAUAAAAGCGGAUUUGUAUGGUUAUUCUGGGUGGGAUCAAAUCUAGGUUGUUGAGUGCCUAUAGUAUCUUUAAGCUCGAUUUGCUUGUUUUGGCCAUAAAUGUUUAAGGUUUCCGUCAUCAUCAUUAUCUCUUAUUGAAAGUUGGACUGACAGAACUUAUUUUGCUUUCAUCGGAAUCAGAAUGAUCAUUUCUUUCGUGAUAAACUGAAGUUUUGUUUGCUUUAAACUCUGUUUGGUGUAGAUGAGAUGCGAUUGCUUGACCUGAAUUUAGCUUCUAUCUGUUUGAACAUGAGUUUGAUUGCUGUCUCGAGUUUUGGUUGUAACGUUCGCUCGAUUUAUAUCUGUGUAUUGCUAGAAAUUUCAUCAAGUGAAAGCUCGUUUUUUAGUUUCCAUGAUUGCUGAAGUUCUGUUAAUUGGAAAUCAAUUUCAUGCCAAGCUUUCUCCUCUUAUUCAUGCUUUGGUUUCAAUUUUUAGUAUAACGUGAACCGGGGAUUACUUUGCUGAAUCUGCUCCUUGUCUUUCAUGUUUUCCAUAAUUGUUGAUGAAGUAACUUGUUGAGAACUAUUGUUUAGUUGAGCAUAAAAGGAAGUAGACAUUAUUUUGAGUGUAAUUGGGUUCCUGUUAAGGACAUGAAUGUAUUAGCGGGGAAUUAAAGCAACAACAUCAUGAACUUGCUUCAAUCUCUCUUAUGUUUUUCUGAUAAACUGCAGAAGCGGUUAGAUUCCCUCGAACUUUUGAACCUUGAAUCUCUUCUUCCUGCGAUGUUUGUUGUUGACGGCGUCGAUGUUUAGGGAGUUCUUCUAGGUUAGUUUUUUUUAGCUUGUAAAGAUGUUGGACAAGAGUCAGCCAUUCUACCUUUUUGUUUUGGAGUUGUUAAUGGUAGGAUUUGUGAGAUCCAAAUUUGAAACCUUAAGAAUGAUGAUCUAUUGGUUCUUUUUGUUUCAACGUGAAUUUUGUUUAAAUCUUCAUGCUCGCUGUCUUUUAUCGCUUGGUUGAAUACACAUAAUGCAAUAUUUGGGCUAGCAAAGGAGUAUUAUGUUUCAUGUAACAUGAAUCUUUAAAUUCAUAACAGUAAUGGUAGGAGUACUCUAAUUGUUAAUUUUCUUACAUAUGGAACACUGUAACAACUGCUUUUGCUUACAUGUAUUCGUUUGAACUAUCUUAAAUUAAUGCUAUAUAACUUAGUGGAUGCUACUGAAAUUUGUUCCAGAUUGUCUUCUCCAUGAAAUGUCUUAAGUUGAUAAUAUGUAAUGUAGUUAAUAAUACUGAACAAGUGAAUUCCAGAUUGCAUUGGUUUUUUAUGAAAUGUAUCGAAUGGUUAAUACUGAUGAUGUGUAGUUUAGUUGAUGCAACAUAGUAAUUAUCGCAAUUACGGGUAUGGUUCCUAUGGAGUGGUUGUGAUACUUAAUUUCGAAUUAGCUUUAAAUAGGAGUACCCAUAGUCUAUUUAGUUGAAUAGUUUUGAGGUGCACCAUACGCAAAUAAAAUCCAUAAUAUAUGGCCCUCACAUAAAUACAAAAAUUAGUAUAAAAAUGCCUUGAACUUUCAUAGUUUGCUUUAGGUGCGUUAAUUAAAUAAAUUAUCAUAGCUACAGGUAUGGUUCCCAUGACGUAGUUGUGAUGCUUAAUUUCAAAGAUCCGGGGUUACAUUUAUGUUGGGGGGGGGGGGGGGUAGUUUCCAGUUUCCAGCCUGUUUACUGGAGUGUUUGAGGUUCAUUGGUUGGUUUUCUUGUUGAGUUUGAGGUCCAAUUAGUUGCUCAGAGUUAUUUGUUGUUGCUGUUUGGGAUCACAACUGGCUAUAAGUUGUGGACAAGUUUUUUUUUUCUGAUUUGAAACUGGGUUUGGAGCUAUUUAUGAAUUCCAAUUGGCUGUCUGUUUGUGUUAUUUGCUGCUGUUUUUGUUUGCUGUGUUGUACUGCUGCUGACUUCCUCUUUAUUCUUCUGUUCACUCCAAUCCAGGUACACAGCUUGAUCCUGGUUAAUUGUAAACUGAAAUGUGAAGAAUGGCAUAGAAACUGAAGCACG